GGUUGUUCUUCCUGUGUGCUUCUGUGAGCAUGAAAAUUCUGCCAAACAGGCUCCAGCUGGGUGAACUAUGGGGCAUUUGCCCGGAGUUCAUGCUCAGCAUCAGGGUCAAAGCAAAGGGAACUCUGACAAUGAUUCCAUUGUGAACUUGUUCUGGGAAUGCCAUGAUGAUUCUCUAUCAUGUUCCUCGUACACUGCACCAGCACCACUGCUUCCCUUCCCAGUGAGAACCCGAUCAAGCUUUAUCAUGCAGCCCAGAAGGGUGGGGGAAAGAAAAAGAAUUAGGAGAAAAUGUUGUAAAAGUAAUGAGAUAAUAUGAGAAUGUGCUUUGGGAACUGCGAAUCUGGAGUCACUGGUCCAUGAGGAAUCUAGGAUAAGAAGAAGGAAGCUGUGAAGAAUGGUUGGCUAACAGUGCUGGCAAGGAAUUCAGAUCAACAUACCUCUCAAAAGAAUGGAAGUCUCUUAAACUCAGACAGAAUAAAGGAGGCACAGAGAAGUUAUACAAAUUGUCCUGGCACAAAAAACUGAUAAGACUUAAGCCCAGGAGUACUGGCCCAAGAAGAUAUUAGUAGACUAUGGAAAUGAUGUUGGAGAAAAAGCAAAUUUGAGCGAUUUUCUUAUUUGAGUUCAAAAUGGGUCUUAAAGCAGUGGGGACAACUGGCAACAUAACAAUGCAUUUGGCCUGGGAACUGCUAACCAACUCUUAGUUCAAUGGCGGUUCAAGAAGUUUUGCAAAGGAGACAAUAGCCUUGAAGAUAAGGAGCAUAGUGGCCGGCCAUCAGAAGUUGACAACGACCAAUUGAGAGCAAUAUUUGAAGCUGAUCCUCUUACAACUACACGAGAAGUUGCCAAAGAACUCAGUGUCGACCUUCCUAUGGUUGUUCGGCAUUUGAAGCAAAUUGGAAAGGUGAGAAAGCUCCAUACAUGGGUGCUGCAUGAGCUGAGUGAGAAGAAAAAAAUCGUCAUUUUGAAGUUUUGUCUUCUCUUGUUCUUCACAACGGUGAACUAUCUCAUGAUUGGAUUGUGACGUACGAUGAAAAGUAGAUUUUAUAUGACAAUGGGCAAUGACCAGCUCAGUGGUUGGACUGAGAAGACACUCCAAAGCACUUCCAAAAGCCAAAUUUGCACCACAAAAAAAGGUCAUGAUCACUGUUGGGUGGUCUGCUGCCACUCCGAUCCACUACAGCUUUCUGAAUCCUGGCAAAACCAUUACAUCUGAGAAGUAUGCUCAGCAAAUAGAUGAGAUGCACUGAAAACUGCAAUGCCUGCAGCUGGCAUUGGUCAACAGAAAGGGUCCAAUUCUUCUCCCAACCGCGUGUUGCAAAACUAAUGCUUCAAAAGUUGAACGAAGUUUUGCCUCAUCUGCCAUAUUUGCCUGAUCUCUCACCAACUGAUCACCACUUUUUUAAGCAUCUCGACAGCACAACUUUUUGCAGGGAAAAUGCUUCCACAACCAGCAGGAUGCAGAAAAUGCUUUCCAAGGGUUCAUUUAAUCCUGAACCAUAGAUUGUUAGCUACAGGAAUAAACAAACUUAUUUCUCACUGGCAAAAAUUUGUUGAUUAUAAUGGUUCCUAUUUUGAUUAAUAAAGAUGUGUUUGAGCCUAGUUAUAAUGAUUUAAAAUUCACGGUCUGAAACCGCAAUUACUUUUGCACUAGCCUAAUAA
rnacentral:lncRNA from 1 species